AUUUACGACCAUAGCACCCUGAAGGCGCCCAAUCUAGUCUGAUCUCAGAAGCUAAGCAGGGUUGGCCCGGUUAGUACUUGAAUGGAAGACCGACUGGGAAUACCGGUGCUGGGUGCC
rnacentral:rRNA from 1 species